rnacentral:rRNA from 1 species
CCUACGGGAGGCAGCAGUGGGGAAUAUUGGACAAUGGGGGCAACCCUGAUCCAGCCAUGCCGCGUGUGUGAAGAAGGCCCUCGGGUUGUAAAGCACUUUCAGUGAGGAAGAACGCCUGGUGGUUAAUACCCAUCAGGAAAGACAUCACUCACAGAAGAAGCACCGGCUAACUCCGUGCCAGCAGCCGCGGUAAUACGGAGGGUGCGAGCGUUAAUCGGAAUUACUGGGCGUAAAGCGCGCGUAGGUGGCUUGAUAAGCCGGUUGUGAAAGCCCCGGGCUCAACCUGGGAACGGCAUCCGGAACUGUCAAGCUAGAGUGCAGGAGAGGAAGGUAGAAUUCCCGGUGUAGCGGUGAAAUGCGUAGAGAUCGGGAGGAAUACCAGUGGCGAAGGCGGCCUUCUGGACUGACACUGACACUGAGGUGCGAAAGCGUGGGUAGCAAACAUGAUUAGAUACCCGUGUAGUC